UGGAAGUGAUGAAAUAGAGAUAAUUGGAUGUCUCUUUGAAUGGAGAGUGUGUGUGAUAAAUGGAAUUCAAUUCAGGUCAGGCUAGGGGUGGGGUGUGGGGAAUAUGUGUGUGUGUGCAUGUAUGGAAAAGGCUUUCAAUGGGGGCACUGAUACUGCUGUGCUGAUUCCGGAGUGCAUCUGAGGCGUGUUGUUAACAUCUGGGGUGCCAAUUCACAACAUUGCCAAUGAUUAAAGCCCAAAACAAGCCCACCAAGACAAGCCUAAGCAUCCUAAAUCUCUAACAGGUUCAUUAAUGAACGUGAUCCUGUGAUCUGAUCUGA
rnacentral:snoRNA from 1 species